CCUACGGGAGGCAGCAGUGAGGAAUAUUGGUCAAUGGACGCAAGUCUGAACCAGCCAUGCCGCGUGCAGGAAGAAGGUGCUAUGCAUUGUAAACUGCUUUUAUACGGGGGUAAUUACAGAUACGUGUAUCUGGAUGAAAGUACCGUAUGAAUAAGGAUCGGCUAACUCCGUGCCAGCAGCCGCGGUAAUACGGAGGAUCCGAGCGUUAUCCGGAUUUAUUGGGUUUAAAGGGUGCGUAGGCGGUCAGGUAAGUUAGAGGUGAAAGCGCGAUGCUCAACAUCGAAACUGCCUCGGAUAAGGGGGGACGAGAGUGUAGGAGAGGAAGGAGGAAGGUGUGGUGUAGCGGUGAAA
rnacentral:rRNA from 1 species